AGUGAACGCUAGCGGUAGGCCUAACACAUGCAAGUCGAACGGCAGCACAGUAAGAGCUUGCUCUUACGGGUGGCGAGUGGCGGACGGGUGAGGAAUACAUCGGAAUCUACUUUUUCGUGGGGGAUAACGUAGGGAAACUUACGCUAAUACCGCAUACGACCUACGGGUGAAAGCAGGGGAUCUUCGGACCUUGCGCGAUUGAAUGAGCCGAUGUCGGAUUAGCUAGUUGGCGGGGUAAAGGCCCACCAAGGCGACGAUCCGUAGCUGGUCUGAGAGGAUGAUCAGCCACACUGGAACUGAGACACGGUCCAGACUCCUACGGGAGGCAGCAGUGGGGAAUAUUGGACAAUGGGCGCAAGCCUGAUCCAGCCAUACCGCGUGAGUGAAGAAGGCCUUCGGGUUGUAAAGCCCUGUUGUUGGGAAAGAAAAGCAGCAGGUUAAUACCCCGCUGUUCUGACGGUACCCAAAGAAUAAGCACCGGCUAACUUCGUG
rnacentral:rRNA from 1 species